CCCUUCGAUGUUCUGGGCUGCACGCGCACUACAAUGGCAACGACAGAAAGUAGUAAUGUAAAUGUGGUUACAUCGAGAGAUGUGACGAAUCAUAAAUCGUUGUCGUGAUUGGGAUUGAGCGUUGUAAUAUUUGCUCAUGAAAGAGGAAUUCCUCGUAAGCGCGAGUCACCAACUCGUGUUGAAUACGUCUCUGCCCUUUGUACACACCGCCCGUCGCUACUACUGAUUGAACUGGUUUUUGAAGUGUAGAGAUUUGCAGGUUUGAUUUUGUAAAAGAAAUGGAACGAUGCGAAGAACCACUCUAAAAAAAGCGUUCGAGAAGAAGUAAAAGUCGUAACA
rnacentral:rRNA from 1 species